rnacentral:tRNA from 4 species
GUGGGUAUAGCUCAGUUGGUUAGAGCGCCGGAUUGUGAUUCCGGAGGUCGCGGGUUCGAACCCCGUUACUCACC